UUUUUUUUCAGUUUUCCAUGUUUCCCACCAAAGUUUGAAUGCAUUCUUAAAUUCUUCAAUUUUAUUGUAUUUAUAUUCAUUAUCCAUAUACCCGGGCCUCUUUGUAUUUCAUCAAGUUUUAAUUUUACCGACACAAGAUCAUAAUCGCUAAAAGGACAAUUCGAGAUACCAACAUUGUAAACUUUAUUUGAAAGACUUUUAUCACAAAAGAUAUAGUCGAUUCUAGACUUAGAAUUUCCUCUCUGAAACGUAUACCGUUUGUCUUUUGGAUACCUAUCCCUCCAUAUGUCUGUAAGAUCAUAUUG
rnacentral:lncRNA from 1 species